UACGAAGGGGGCUAGCGUUGCUCGGAAUGACUGGGCGUAAAGGGCGCGUAGGCGGAGUGCUUUGUCGGGCGUGAAAUUCCAGGGCUCAACCUUGGGGCUGCGUUCGAGACGGGCAUUCUAGAGUGGAGAAGAGGGUCGUGGAAUUCCCAGUGUAGAGGUGAAAUUCGUAGAUAUUGGGAAGAACACCGGUGGCGAAGGCGGGUCUCUGGGCAGUAACUGACGCUGAGGAGCGAAAGCGUGGGGAGCGAACAGG
rnacentral:rRNA from 1 species